rnacentral:rRNA from 1 species
GAUAAGCGCUGAAAGCAACGAAGCGCGAAACUUGCCUCGAGAUGAUUCUUGCCUGGGACUUAAAGGCCUCUGAAGGAACGUUUAAGACUAAGACGUUGAUAGGCUGGGUGUGUAAGUGCAGCGAUGCAUUGAGCUAACCAGUACUAAUGAUCCGUGAGGCUUAACCUUAGAACGCCAAAGGUGUUUUG